rnacentral:snoRNA from 1 species
CCAAUGGGGAUAUCUGGAGAGGUUGCUCUUUCUCAGCUCUGUCCAUGUGGCAUAUGGGAGCGUAGGCCUUUGGGCUCUGUGACGUAUAGUCCCCUUCCACACCAUUGGAGAGCAAGCUGGGCCCUCUGAGUUCCGCAACCUGCAUAUUCCUCCUUCUGCUCUGAGUCUUUGCACAGUGACUGAGGAGAUAAAUCACUUGGGUAGUGUUU